CAGAAAAUAGUUUAAAAAAAAAUAAUAAUUUUGGGAAUUAUUGAUAUAUAUACUUAUAUAUUUCUGA
rnacentral:tRNA from 1 species